ACUUGGAUGCACAAAGAACUCGCCAUCUUUUGCUACCCAGACGCAUUUUCUCUGAUUGGGAGCUCUUGGAGCGAGCUAGGAGCUGUGGGAACAAUCCUUCUUCUUCCUUGGGUUCUCUUCUUUCUUCCAUUUCCACCAUUGUUGUAAGCUUGAGCUUUCCAUUUAUGGAGAGCUAGUUUCAUUGUUGUUGGGGGAUUGAUGUAACCACUAAACUCUUAUGUAAAGCAUGUUGUUUUGAAUGAAUAUAUACCUCUUUCAUUGAUUGUUAGUGUUUAAUUUCUUUUCUUAAUGCUUGUUGUGAAGUUGCUACUCAUGACAUGAUUUAGGGUUUCUUGAUAUUGGGAAAUAUUGGGUAAACCUUGACUU
rnacentral:lncRNA from 1 species